CAGUCGCCGCGGGAAUACGUAGGGUGCAAGCGUUAAUCGGAAUUACUGGACGUAAAGCGUGCGCAGGCGGUUAUAUAAGUCAGAUGUGAAAUCCCCGGGCUCAACCUGGGAACUGCAUUUGAGACUGUAUGGCUAGAGUGUGUCAGAGGGGGGUAGAAUUCCACGUGUAGCAGUGAAAUGCGUAGAUAUGUGGAGGAAUACCGAUGGCGAAGGCAGCCCCCUGGGAUAACACUGACGCUCAUGCACGAAAGCGUGGGGAGCAAACAGGAUUAGAUACCCGAGUAGUCCCUGUCUCUUAUAC
rnacentral:rRNA from 1 species